rnacentral:rRNA from 1 species
UACGGGGGGUGCGAGCGUUGUCCGGAAUCACUGGGCGUAAAGGGCGCGUAGGUGGUUUGAUAAGGGUGUGGUGAAAGCCCGGGGCUCAACCCCGGGUCUGCCGUGCCGACUGUCAAACUCGAGGGCUGUAGAGGCAGGCGGAAUUCCGGGUGUAGCGGUGGAAUGCGUAGAGAUCCGGAGGAAGACCGGUGGCGAAGGCGGUCUGCUGGGCAGUUUCUGACACUGAUGCGCGACAGCGUGGGGAGCAAACAGG